UAUGUGUAAGUAACUGUGCACAUCUUGACGGUACCUAAUCAGAAAGCCACGGCUAACUACGUGCCAGCAGCCGCGGUAAUACGUAGGUGGCAAGCGUUAUCCGGAAUUAUUGGGCGUAAAGCGCGCGUAGGCGGUUUUUUAAGUCUGAUGUGAAAGCCCACGGCUCAACCGUGGAGGGUCAUUGGAAACUGGAAAACUUGAGUGCAGAAGAGGAAAGUGGAAUUCCAUGUGUAGCGGUGAAAUGCGCAGAGAUAUGGAGGAACACCAGUGGCGAAGGCGACUUUCUGGUCUGUAACUGACGCUGAUGUGCGAAAGCGUGGGGAUCAAACAGGAUUAGAUACCCUGGUAGUCCACGCCGUAAACGAUGAGUGCUAAGUGUUAGGGGGUUUCCGCCCCUUAGUGCUGCAGCUAACGCAUUAAGCACUCCGCCUGGGGAGUACGACCGCAAGGUUGAAACUCAAAGGAAUUGACGGGGGCCCGCACAAGCGGUGGAGCAUGUGGUUUAAUUCGAAGCAACGCGAAGAACCUUACCAAAUCUUGACAUCCUUUGACAACUCUAGAGAUAGAGCUUUCCCCUUCGGGGGACAAAGUGACAGGUGGUGCAUGGUUGUCGUCAGCUCGUGUCGUGAGAUGUUGGGUUAAGUCCCGCAACGAGCGCAACCCUUAAGCUUAGUUGCCAUCAUUAAGUUGGGCACUCUAAGUUGACUGCCGG
rnacentral:rRNA from 1 species